UGGGGAAUUUUGGACAAUGGGGGAAACCCUGAUCCAGCCAUCCCGCGUGUGCGAUGAAGGCCUUCGGGUUGUAAAGCACUUUUGGCAGGAAAGAAACGUCGCGGGUUAAUACCCCGCGAAACUGACGGUACCUGCAGAAUAAGCACCGGCUAACUACGUGCCAGCAGCCGCGGUAAUACGUAGGGUGCAAGCGUUAAUCGGAAUUACUGGGCGUAAAGCGUGCGCAGGCGGUUCGGAAAGAAAGAUGUGAAAUCCCAGAGCUUAACUUUGGAACUGCAUUUUUAACUACCGGGCUAGAGUGUGUCAGAGGGAGGUGAAUUCCGCGUGUAGCAGUGAAAUGCGUAGAUAUGCGGAGGAACACCGAUGGCGAAGGCAGCCUCCUGGGAUAACACUGACGCUCAUGCACGAAAGCGUGGGGAGCAAACAGGAUUAGAUACCCUGGUAGUCCACGCCCUAAACGAUGUCAACUAGCUGUUGGGGCCUUCGGGCCUUGGUAGCGCAGCUAACGCGUGAAGUUGACCGCCUGGGGAGUACGGUC
rnacentral:rRNA from 1 species